rnacentral:rRNA from 1 species
CGUGUAGCAGUGAAAUGCGUAGAUAUGUGGAGGAAUACCGAUGGCGAAGGCAGCCCCCUGGGAUAAUACUGACGCUCAGACACGAAAGCGUGGGGAGCAAACAGGAUUAGAUACCCUGGUAGUCCACGCCCUAAACGAUGUCAACUAGCUGUUGGGGCCGUUAGGCCUUAGUAGCGCAGCUAACGCGUGAAGUUGACCGCCUGGGGAGUACGGUCGCAAGAUUAAAACUCAAAGGAAUUGACGGGGACCCGCACAAGCGGUGGAUGAUGUGGAUUAAUUCGAUGCAACGCGAAAAACCUUACCUACCCUUGACAUGUCUGGAAAGCCGAAGAGAUUUGGCCGUGCUCGCAAGAGAACCGGAACACAGGUGCUGCAUGGCUGUCGUCAGCUCGUGUCGUGAGGUGUUGGGUUAAGUCCCACAACGAGCGCAACCCUUGUCAUUAGUUGCUACGCAAGAGCACUCUAAUGAGACUGCCGGUGACAAACCGGAGGAAGGUGGGGAUGACGUCAAGUCCUCAUGGC